rnacentral:rRNA from 1 species
UACAGAGGUGGCAAGCGUUGUUCGGAAUUACUGGGCGUAAAGGGCGCGUAGGCGGUUCGAUAAGUCCCGUGUGAAAUCCUUCGGCUCAACUGAGGAACUGCACGGGAAACUGACGGGCUUGAGUUCGGGAGAGGGAAGCGGAAUUCCGGGUGUAGCGGUGAAAUGCGUAGAUAUCCGGAGGAACACCGGUGGCGAAGGCGGCUUCCUGGACCGACACUGACGCUGAGGCGCGAAAGCUAGGGGAGCAAACGGG